CUACCGUCUCAGGCACGAAGCUUCACAGCUCAGUACCGACCCUGACAACUUGACACUCUGCUGAUGACAGCUUUCCUCCCAAGCUGCAGGCACAGCGAGUCUGGCUCCCAGCCACAGGCAGCACUAAGGGAGAUCACAAGGCCCCGUUCAGAGCUCAAACAGGCAUAAAGAAGCUUGGGGAGAGCAGACGAGGAGAAACACGUGCCAAUGCAAACGAGACCGAGGCGUGGUGGUGCAUCUAGAAUCUUGGCACUUGGGAGGCUGAGACAAGUGGUCCUGACCUGGAGGCCAGCAUGGGCUGCAAGCGUGAGUGGGGCUCACUCUCGGAAACCAGGCACGGGUGUUUUGCCUUCGUGGGUCUGUGCGCCACGUGUGUGCCUGGUUCCCAUGGAGGUCAGAAAAAGACGUCAGAUCCUCUGGAACUAAAGUCAUGGACCGUUAUGAGCUGCCAUGCCCACAGCCCUAGCAAGUUCUUUACGGCAAAGCCUGGGCUCCAGCAGCCCCCAAAAGCUAGGUUCAGCUUGGCACAGUGGUGCACGCCUUUAAGCCCAGCACUCGGGAGGCAGAUGCAGGCGGAUCUCUGUCAAGACGCAGCCUGGUCAACACAGUGAGUUCAGGACAGCCAGAGCUACAU